UACGUAGGGGGCAAGCGUUGUCCGGAAUCAUUGGGCGUAAAGAGCGCGUAGGCGGCCAGAUAAGUCCGGUGUGAAAGUCACAGGCUCAACCUGUGAAUGCCGCUGGAAACUGUCUGGCUAGAGUCCGGUAGGGGCGAGUGGAAUUCCUGGUGUAGCGGUGAAAUGCGCAGAUAUCAGGAGGAACACCGGUGGCGAAGGCGGCAUCCUGGACCAACACUGACGCUGAGGAGCGAAAGCCAGGGGAGCAAACGGG
rnacentral:rRNA from 1 species